GAAGAAGCAAAGUGAUGAGCAGUACUUGCAUGAGCCGAAGUGCGCGAGCUGUGUGUCUGUGUGAGUGUGUACACUUGUGUGAUGGUUGGUUGUGAGAAUUGUCUGCCUUAUAAUUGGGCUGUGAUGGCUAAACUGAUAAGAUCUGAUUGCUUC
rnacentral:snoRNA from 1 species